ensembl:lncRNA
AUGCUUGACGCUCCUCUCCUCCUCUUAUAAACAGAAUAUGUUUCUUUGAGCCAAGAUGCUGACGCUCCUCUCCUCUUAGAACAAGAAUAUGUUAUUUGAGCCAAGAUGCUUGACGCUGCUCUCCUCUUAUAAACAGAAUAUGUUUAUUGACCAAGAUGCUUGACGCUGCUCUCCUCUUAUAAACAGAAUUGUAUUUUGAGCCAAGAGCUUGUGACUGCCUCUCCUCUUAUAAACAAAUAUGUUAUUUGAGCCAAGAUGCUUGACGCUGCUCUCCUCUUAUAAACAUAAAUGUUAUUUGAAGCCAAGAUGCUUGACGCUGCUCUCCUCUUAUAAACAGAAUAUGUUAUUUGAGCCAAGAUGCUUGACGCUGCUCCCUCUUAUAAACAGAAUAGUUAUUUGAGCCAAGAUGCUUGACCUGCCUCUCCUCUUAAACAGAAUAUGUUAUUUGAGCCAAGAUGCUUGACGCUGCUCUCCUCCUUUGUAAACAAAACUAAAUAAAAACAUAACAAAUGCUCCUGCGGGGCGACCAGUUGCCCGUCUCACCGGCAGAUCUCAGCUUUAAUAACCAUCACGGACACACACAUACACUACCGAGAAACAUGGAAACGCAAAAUCUCCUGGACAUAAAGUGAUGGCAGGGUUUCAACACGAGAAAAUAACCUUCAUAUCAUCACUCAUACACAGUCUGAUAAUGUAAGAAAUACACACAAAGAUCCUAUGUCCCAGGCCAGAGACGCGAUCAGUCGACCCCUCUACUCACCACUACAGACUCGGGUCUGAUUGUAUUUGAUUCCAGACCCCCUCUACUCACCACUACAAGCUCCUGGGUCUCUGAUGUAUUUGAUUCCAGACCCCCCUACUCACCACUACAGACUCCUGGGUCGUCUGAUGUAUUGAUUCCAGACCCCCUCUACUCACCACUACAAACCUCUCCGGGUCUCUGAUGUAUUUGAUUCCAGACCCCCUCUACUCACCACUACAGACUCCUGGGUCUCUGAUGUAUUUGAUUCCAGACCCCCUCUACUCACCACUACAGACUCCUGGGUCGGUGAUGUAUUUUGAUUCCAGACCCCCUCGUACCACCACUACAGACUCCUGGGCUCUGAUGUAUUUGAUUCCAGACCCCCCUACUCACCACUACAGACUCCUGGGUCGUAAUGUAUUUGAUUCCAGACCCCCUCUACUCACUAUAACAGACUCCUGGGUCUCUGAUGUAUUUGAUUCCAGACCCCCUCUACCACCACUACAGACGCUGGUCUCUGAUGUAUUUGAUUCCAGACCCCUCUACUCACCACUACACAGACUCCUGGAUCUCUGAUGUAUUUGAUUCCAGACCCCCUCUACUCACCACUACAGACUCCUGGGUCUGUGAUGUAUUGAUUCCAGACCCCCCUCUACUCACCACUACAGACUCCUGGGUCCUGAUGUCCCUGAUGGGGUUCAGGUAAUAAGGGUUUACACAUCUCACAAGUGCGUCCCAUGGUGUUGUGGAGACAAUCGUCACAGACGCCACCGUUGGCAUUGCCCGUGGACAGGUACACCGCCAUGUCAAAGUGAAACUGGUUGGAGUGACCAUUCAGUGCAUUCUGGGUUGAGACAAAAGGACAGAUAUUGAAACAUGAAAUUAAGAUUU